rnacentral:rRNA from 1 species
GAUGAACGCUGGCGGCGUGCCUAAUACAUGCAAGUCGAGCGAAUGGAUUAAGAGCUUGCUCUUAUGAAGUUAGCGGCGGACGGGUGAGUAACACGUGGGUAACCUGCCCAUAAGACUGGGAUAACUCCGGGAAACCGGGGCUAAUACCGGAUAACAUUUUGAACCGCAUGGUUCGAAAUUGAAAGGCGGAUUCGGCUGUCACUUAUGGAUGGACACGCGUCUAAUUAGCGAGUUGGUGAGGUAACGGCUCACCAAGGCAACGAUGCGUAGCCGACCUGAGAGGGUGAGCGGCCACGCUGGGACUGAGACACGGCCCAGACUCCUACGUGAGGCAGCAGUAGGGAAUCUUCCGCAAUGGACGAAAGUCGGACGGAGCAACGCCGCGUGAGUGAUGAAGGCUUUCGGGUCGUAAAACUCUGUUGUUAGGGAAGAACAAGUGCUAGUUGAAUAAGCUGGCACCUUGACGGUACCUAACCAGAAAGCCACGGCUAACUACGUGCCAGCCGCCGCGGUAA